CCCCCAUCUUCUGUCACCUGGAUUACUUCGGUUCUCCCACCUUAAGAUAGGCUGAUUAUUGCAGGCAACCAUUCAGCAAAAGCCCACCCGCAAGGAUCUGUUCUGGCACUGGGACAAUUCAAGAUUUGUUUUCCAGGUGUUUUCACAUCCUCAGAGAGGUGAUGGUUAAAAGCCAAGCACAAGCUGAUACCUGCCGCCGAAAAAAAAAAACCAGCGGACACAUUCCUGAAUCCAGUCUUCUUUCAUCCUUCGAAGAUGAGGAAACUGAGGCUCAGAGGUAUGAAGGCAAAGCACGUGAAGAUAGGAAGAUCGGAAGCCCCAACUCUCUGCCUCGGUGGAGAUGUUAUUCUAUAUUGGCUGCCAUGAUUGCUUGUGGAAGUGUUUCAGUCUCACCCUCUCUGGUUCUCCUUGGAGACGAGAGGGCGCCGGCCCUCUGGCGGUGCCCACCCCUCCCGACCGCCCCACGCGCACCACCGAGCAAUGGCGAGGCCGCAGACAAGGGCGCCUUUCUUCAAAGUGGUUCGCCUCCAUCUCAUAAAUUCUCAGCCCCCGCCUGAUUGGCUGCGAGAAAAGGAGACGAGAAAACUGAGGCGCAAAAAGGGGCAUUCACCUGCCCGCAGUCACGAAGUUAAAGACAGGCAGAGUGGAGGCACGAACCGAGGGCUGUCACAGCCUCUUACCCACCUCUGAGAACCUGCCUUCUGCAAAAGCCGUGGGCACCAGCAGAAGCCAGAAAAGAGAAUGGAUCCACAUUCAAAAAGGAGCUCCCAGGGAAAGGCUGGAGAAGCAGCGAAACAAGAAGUUGGUGGUCCUAUGUCAGUCUGCACCGUUCUGUCUGGAGAUUAUACCCAUGUAUGAAAUCCAAAAAUCGGGGAAGCAUUGGACUUGCUGACCUUGAGACUUCCCGUGUUGUGAUUUAACAUGUAUCCCAGUUGGUAAUGUUCAGUGCAGGUAAGGUUGCAGUGAAACAGGUCACCUCCUGAAACAGACUACCUCCUCCCCUCUUGGGAGAAGAAUAAAUCGACAUCAUCUUUUGCGAUAUCUAUGAAUGUGGCGAUUUUUCAUAGACCCAGCAAUCGUACUUGCAGAAAUUUGUUUGAAUGAAAAACUCACACAGGUUUGCAAAGCCCAUCGACUUAGACUUGUCUUGAAGUGAAAAACUGGAGCGCCCCAAGGACCCACAGUGAGGGACUAGUGGAGGAAAGGGAGGCCCAGCUGGACCACAGACUACACGACACUGUGGCUUGCAGGUUAAUAACACGGACCUACAUUUCCUUACAUGAAGGGAGGUCCGUGGGGCUCAUUCAUCCUAUACACAUUUCUUGAGCACCUACUACAUGCCAGCUACUGUUCUGGGCAGAGGUUGCAACAGUGAACAAAGAAGACAGUAUCCUUACCCUCGUGGAGCUUACAUUCUGAUGGAAAAAAUUUUCACAAGCAAGUAAAUACAUAGUAUCAAGUAAUAACAUGUUUGUGGGGUUAAAAAUAAAAGCAGGGUGCAUGGACAAUGUCGCCAUUCUGGGAAACAGUUCGGAAGUUUCUUAUCAAGUUAGAUACAUAUUUACCUUAUGGCUCAGCAGUCCCACUCCUGGUUA